UUACGGCCAUAUCGCGUUGCAAGACCGGUUCCCGUACGAUCACCGAAAUUAAUCAACAUGGUUAGUACCUAGAUGGGUAACCACUUGGAAAUGCCAGGUGCUGUAAG